rnacentral:tRNA from 1 species
GAGGGUAUAGUUCAGUGGUAGAGCAUAUGCUUAGCAUGCACGAGGUCCUGGGUUCAAUCCCCAGUACCUCCA